AUGUUGGAGGGUCAAUCUUGCCUGAUCUCGAGGUCACUGCCCAGCUCCUGCGAACAGGAAUCCAGAUUAGCUUAUAUGACUUACCACCUCCUUGAGAUCACGAGGACUAAGCGCCCAUCUGGGGUCCUGGCUAUUGAGCAUGAUGGAAUUGCUGUGGCGGCAGUGCUGGCAAAGCGGGCUAAGUCUGAGGAUAACCAUGAUGCUGUGCCGGUAGACUGUCAAGGUGGUAAUCAGGGCUAUUCUGAUUCAAGCACACUGAUAAGUUCUAUUGGCAGAGAUAAUUCAAUCAAUUGCCUAGCCCGUUGUUCUCGGUCUGAUUAUGGCUCCAUUGCAUCACUGAGCCGGAACUUCCGUUCCCUUGUCCGUGAUGGUGGUCUGUACAGAGAACGGCGGAGGUUAGGGAUUGCAGAACAUUGGGUAUAUUUCUCCUGCAAUGUGCAGGAGUGGGAGGCAUAUGACCCAUACCGUGAACGGUGGAUGACGCUCCCAAGGAUGCCACCUAAUGAGUGUUUCAUGUGCUCAGACAAGGAGUCACUAGCUGUGGGCACUGAACUUCUGGUGUUUGGCAAGGAGAUUCUAUCACAUAUUGUUCUUAGCUAUAGCAUUCUGACCAACUCAUGGUCAAGAGGUGUUGAAAUGAAUGCCCCUAGAUGUUUGUUUGGUUCGGCUAGUUUUGGAGAGAAGGCAAUUAUAGCUGGUGGCAUGGAUUCUUUUGGGAGUGUGCUUAGUUCUGCUGAGCUGUACAACUCUGAAACUAAAAGUUGGAUUACACUUCCAAGCAUGAACAAGCGUCGGAGAAUGUGUUCUGGAGUCUUCAUGGAUGGCAAGUUUUAUGUUAUUGGUGGAAUGGCCAGUAACACGGAGGUGCUGACAUGCGGUGAAGAGUAUGAUUUAGAGAAGGGCACCUGGAGGUUGAUAGAGAACAUGUCCGAGGGGCUCAAUGGUGCCAGUGGUGCUCCUCCCCUUGUUGCUGUAGUUGACAAUGAGCUAUAUGCGGCUCAAUAUGCAGGAAAACUAGUAAGGAAGUAUAAUAAAAGUGAUAACACAUGGACAACUCUUGGGGAGUUACCAGAGCGCCCAGAAGCUGUGAAUGGCUGGGGCAUUGCAUUCCGAGGAUGUGGAGAGCGGCUCCUGGUGAUUGGUGGACCAAGAGUGCUGGGAGGCGGGAUGAUUGAACUCCAUUCGUGGAUCCCAAGGGAGGGCCCCUUGCAAUGGAACAUGAUCGGAAGCAAACCUUCUGGCAACUUUGUUUAUAACUGUGCUGUCAUGGGGUGCUGA
rnacentral:rRNA from 1 species